rnacentral:lncRNA from 1 species
AUUUAUAGAAUUUUUUUAAAUAUUCUGAUUUAAUAAUUGAUUUUAAUAUUGAUUUUGCCCGGCGCCAUCUAUUAAUCACUUACCUUACUAGCUCAGUUAUAAAGUGAAUUCUGCAUGAGAUCUCCUAUCUGUGGAGGUGUGAGAAAAGAUUUCUGAAAUAUCAACUAAACAAACGACACAAAAAUACAGCUAUAUGAAAUGGUUGAUAAAUAACAAAAGACUGUCGAAUAUUGUACACGAAUUUGGAAAUAUAUUGAAAAUAAAGGCUUUGUUAUGCAACAUCAAAAAUACAAGGUUAUCUAGUCGAAAGUCUGAAGGAAGAAAUACGAUGCAAUGAAUUUAACUAUAUAAAAAAAUAAAAGUAUUUGACAAAAAUUAAGUCGAAGAUAACCCAAAAUUAUCUUGAAUAUUCAAAAUUUGUUAUACUAAAGCUAGAAAAUGAAAAACAUUGACUUUCGAUCAUGAUCAAUUAAAAAUAUAAACUGUUCAGUACAACCUUUCACGAUGUAAUAUGAAGAUAAACCAAACUGCUAUGAAGUCUCUUCGGAUCCAAGACGAAACCAACUCCUUCUAUUUCACUGGAACAAUGUUCUAAAUCUGGUAGAUACCCGCAUCACAAUACUUUUUCACUUUUCUUAUAAAGUUGAGGGUCAUUUUUGAAAAUUUUUUUUUUUUACCAUGAAGAUUAUUUAUACAGAUUGAUGUCUAUUUCAACAUAAUUUCACAAAUCUAUACAUGCAGCUAAAUGAUGCAAGACGUAUCACCUUAACGAAGUUCCUUUCGAAGUGACUUUUGGAAACAUGGAACCUUUUGAUGAUUCUUACGAACAAAUAAGGCUAUUGUAUGAUACAAAUAGAAGUAAUUCUCUGGUAAAACUCAAAAUUCAAAUUAUUAUAUAUUCUAUUUACUAAUUUCUAAUUUAUAUGUCAUUGAAAUAUCAUCUUUGAUAUAGGAUUAUCUAUUUUGAUUUCUUAUGUAAUUCUACCUUUAUACACUUAAAUAAAACCAUCUUAUAACUAUUUAAUUAUUACUAAGUGCUCUCCUAACUUUAGUUCUUUUUAUAAUUCUCAUUCUUCUCAACCUUCCAAUCAACGAUACCCCUCAAAAGUGGCAA